rnacentral:rRNA from 1 species
UUGGCACCUCGAUGUCGGCUCAUCACAUCCUGGGGCUGAAGUAGGUCCCAAGGGUAUGGCUGUUCGCCAUUUAAAGUGGUACGCGAGCUGGGUUUAGAAACGUCGUGAGACAGUUCGGUCCCUAUCUGCCGUGGGCGCUGGAGAAUUGAGGGGGGCUGCUCCUAGUACGAGAGGACCGGAGUGGACGCAUCACUGGUGUUCGGGUUGUCAUGCCAAUGGCA